UCAUCAUCGACAAUGUCCUCCUCUGCUGCUACUGUUGCUCAAACAGCGUCUCCUCUUCAACCUUCGACGAUCUCUGCCUUGGUUUGACUUCUCAGGUGGUUGUUGGCCGGAUCCUCCGCUUUUGGGAUUCAAGGAACAUCAAGAAAAAUGUUGAAUUUGUAGGUAUCACCAUCUUCAUGAAAAGGUGUAAAACCUCGACUGAUGGAGUCUAAAAUCGAGACGCUGAAUCUCACUCUGGUGAAUUUGUUUCAUUUGUCAAGAAAACGAGCCGUGACGACGACUGAACAUGUGAAUCGUUUGGUAUCACCGGAUAGAGGCAGAUCAAAGAAUGCAGCUCGGCCAUCUACAUCUCAAGAGACUUGCGGUAGACUAGAUGUUAAAGGCAUGGACCUACAAAGAACUUCUUCUAGAGAACUAGGAAACUCAUUGCAGGUUGUGAUAGGUAUGUCAAUUUUCUCUUUACCAAGUAUGAAGGAAGUUGGUAUUUCCUUUGUUUUAAGUAUGGUAGAAGGUUCAUGGAUAUAUAAUAUAUAUAUGUCCUUUGUAGGU